ensembl:lncRNA novel transcript
GGUUCAAGAAAUCCGGAUGUACCACAACACACUUUCUGAGGCAGAACGUAAAAGGUAGAGCCACGUUUGGUAUCCGAGGUAUCCUAACAUCUUAACAGUCUCUUUGCUGGAAAGAAAUCUUCAGUGGCUCCCAUUACCUACGGAUCCAGCCUGGCUUUUUAGUCCAGCAUUCAAGACCUGUCAAGCUCUUCUGCAUCCUCUCGUAUGCAUGUGAUAGACAGGCACUCCACCUAGCGAAGUACAACCAUCCCAAACUUAUUCCUAUUACUUUUCUUCCAUUCAUUCGUUCAUACAAUCAAUCAGUCAUCAUUGAGGAUUUAUUAGACGAUAGGUUCUGGAGACAAAAAGGUAGAUAAAUACGACGCAGUCUUUGCUUUUGAGGACUGUAUCCCAGAUACAUCUGACUGGUUGUUCCUGCUGAAACAUUUUUCCACCUCCAUGCUUUUGCAUACACUACUUUCUCCACCUGGAAGACCCUCUCUGCAUUUCUGAACAUGCACUUUUAUUAACUGUCCACAGCUGCAGUGAGGCCUUCUUCAUGAAGCCUCUCCCAGUUCUCCGCCUCACCCCACCAAGCUGGAACUGAUCGCAGCCUCCAAACUCCCACAGCAAUCCUUUGCCUCCUCUUCUGACGCUACUCUUUCUCUCUUGGAUGAAAGCCGUGUGUAUCCAUGUUGGUUCUCCACUUCUAGAACCUGUCGUUUUGGGGCUGCAGGACUUGGUGGAUUCACACUGGCAUCCCCUCAGGAAGCAGGAAUCAUGUUUACAAAGCAUUCCCUUGGCAAGAGGCUGUCUAUAGGAUCCAGAUGGUCUGACCCCAAGUCAGAUGUCCUUUAUAACCUUGCUUUUAUGGUCCUCUGACCAGCAGCAUUAACAUCACCCUCACCUGGGAGCUCAUUAGGAAUGCAGAAUCUCGGGCCUCAUCCCUGAUCCACUGAAUUGGAAUCUGCAUCUUAACAAGAUCCUCAGGCAAUCUGUAAGCAUAUGCAUGGUUGAGAAGCACUGCUGUACAACACUUUGUAACAAUCUCUCUUGUCCAAGAGCGGGGACGAAGCUAGCUGUGAAAGCUAACACAGGUCUCAGGUGUUCUUCUUCCUGCAAGUGAGGGUUGGACAGCCCAAGCCAUGCUUCGCCUGGGCCCUGAGGAGGCCUCACCCCCCACUCCCCAUGGCAGCAACAUUCUCCUUGAGCCUUCCUUGGUGGUCCGAUGUCAGCAUCUUGCCAAUCCAGGCGAAGGCAUCAUGCCACACUGACAGAUGGCCCAAAGUAGGACAGACAGAAGAAAUGUAUGUUUAUCAAAUUUGGGUUGAAAAGACCACGUUCCCCCAGCAUAGGCUGUCAAACAGCUGUCAUUCAGGAGCAUAUGGCCCAGCGGUGAGAGGGCACAGACACAGCUAAUCCCACUCUUAGAGAGAUUAGCUCUGACGAGUGAAGAAAGUUGCGGCUGUCGCCAGGGUGCUGCCUGGGAGGAGAGGGUGGAGGGUCUGCAUUGUGGUUCAUUUCCCGAAUCACCUUCCCUGUGAUCGAGGCUCCUGUCUGCCAAAAAGAAGCCAGAAUGAAAUGAUGCUGUAGAAAUAACUAUGACAGUAAUAAUAAUAAAUCUACCAUUUAUCAACCA